rnacentral:rRNA from 1 species
UACAGAGGGUGCGAGCGUUAAUCGGAAUUACUGGGCGUAAAGCGCACGUAGGCGGCUUGGUAUGUCGGGUGUGAAAUCCCCCGGGCUCAACCUGGGAACUGCAUCCGAAACUGCCUUGCUCGAGUAUGGGAGAGGGAAGUGGAAUUUCCGGUGUAGCGGUGAAAUGCGUAGAUAUCGGAAGGAACAUCAGUGGCGAAGGCGACUUCCUGGACCAAUACUGACGCUCAGGUGCGAAAGCGUGGGGAGCAAACAGGGAU